rnacentral:rRNA from 1 species
AAAGGGUUGCCAAGCCGCGAGUGGAGCUAAUCCCAUAAAACCGAUCGUAGUCCGGAUCGCAGUCUGCAACUCGACUGCGUGAAGUCGGAAUCGCUAGUAAUCGUGAAUCAGAAUGUCACGGUGAAUACGUUCCCGGGCCUUGUACACACCGCCCGUCACACCAUGGGAGUGGGUUGCUCCAGAAGUAGCUAGUCUAACCGCAAGGGGGGACGGUUACCACGGAGUGUUCAUGACUGGGGUGAAGUCGUAACAAGGUAGCCGUAGGGNAACCUGCGGUUGGAUC